CCUACGGGAGGCAGCAGUGGGGAAUAUUGGACAAUGGGCGAAAGCCUGAUCCAGCCAUGCCGCGUGUGUGAAGAAGGUCUUCGGAUUGUAAAGCACUUUAAGUUGGGAGGAAGGGUUGUAGAUUAAUACUCUGCAAUUUUGACGUUACCGACAGAAUAAGCACCGGCUAACUCUGUGCCAGCAGCCGCGGUAAUACAGAGGGUGCAAGCGUUAAUCGGAAUUACUGGGCGUAAAGCGCGCGUAGGUGGUUUGUUAAGUUGGAUGUGAAAUCCCCGGGCUCAACCUGGGAACUGCAUUCAAAACUGACUGACUAGAGUAUGGUAGAGGGUGGUGGAAUUUCCUGUGUAGCGGUGAAAUGCGUAGAUAUAGGAAGGAACACCAGUGGCGAAGGCGACCACCUGGACUAAUACUGACACUGAGGUGCGAAAGCGUGGGGAGCAAACAGGAUUAGAUACCCUGGUAGUCCACGCCGUAAACGAUGUCAACUAGCCGUUGGAAGCCUUGAGCUUUUAGUGGCGCAGCUACGACAUUAAGUUAGUACCGCCGUGGGGAGGUACGGCCGGCGAACGGUUAAAACGUAACGAAAGGAAAGUUAGUACGGCGUGAGACGUAGCCGAACGGACGACGACGAGGGAGGUUAGGG
rnacentral:rRNA from 1 species